rnacentral:rRNA from 1 species
ACGCUAGCUACAGGCUUAACACAUGCAAGUCGAGGGGCAUCAGGAAGAAAGCUUGCUUUCUUUGCUGGCGACCGGCGCACGGGUGAGUAACACGUAUCCAACCCGCCCUUUACUCGGGGAUAGCCUUUCGAAAGAAAGAUUAAUACCCGAUGGCAUAAUGAUUCCGCAUGGUUUCAUUAUUAAAGGAUUCCGGUAAAGGAUGGGGAUGCGUUCCAUUAGGUUGUUGGUGAGGUAACGGCUCACCAAGCCUUCGAUGGAUAGGGGUUCUGAGAGGAAGGUCCCCCACAUUGGAACUGAGACACGGUCCAAACUCCUACGGGAGGCAGCAGUGAGGAAUAUUGGUCAAUGGGCGCUAGCCUGAACCAGCCAAGUAGCGUGAAGGAUGAAGGCUCUAUGGGUCGUAAACUUCUUUUAUAUAAGAAUAAAGUGCAGUAUGUAUACUGUUUUGUAUGUAUUAUAUGAAUAAGGAUCGGCUAACUCCGUGCCAGCAGCCGCGGUAAUACGGAGGAUCCGAGCGUUAUCCGGAUUUAUUGGGUUUAAAGGGAGCGUAGGUGGACUGGUAAGUCAGUUGUGAAAGUUUGCGGCUCAACCGUAAAAUUGCAGUUGAUACUGUCAGUCUUGAGUACAGUAGAGGUGGGCGGAAUUCGUGGUGUAGCGGUGAAAUGCUUAGAUAUCACGAAGAACUCCGAUUGCGAAGGCAGCUCACUGGACUGCAACUGACACUGAUGCUCGAAAGUGUGGGUAUCAAACAGGAUUAGAUACCCUGGUAGUCCACACAGUAAACGAUGAAUACUCGCUGUUUGCGAUAUACAGUAAGCGGCCAAGCGAAAGCAUUAAGUAUUCCACCUGGGGAGUACGCCGGCAACGGUGAAACUCAAAGGAAUUGACGGGGGCCCGCACAAGCGGAGGAACAUGUGGUUUAAUUCGAUGAUACGCGAGGAACCUUACCCGGGCUUAAAUUGCAGUGGAAUGAUGUGGAAACAUGUCAGUGAGCAAUCACCGCUGUGAAGGUGCUGCAUGGUUGUCGUCAGCUCGUGCCGUGAGGUGUCGGCUUAAGUGCCAUAACGAGCGCAACCCUUAUCUUUAGUUACUAACAGGUUAUGCUGAGGACUCUAGAGAGACUGCCGUCGUAAGAUGUGAGGAAGGUGGGGAUGACGUCAAAUCAGCACGGCCCUUACGUCCGGGGCUACACACGUGUUACAAUGGGGGGUACAGAAGGCAGCUAGCGGGUGACCGUAUGCUAAUCCCAAAAGCCUCUCUCAGUUCGGAUCGAAGUCUGCAACCCGACUUCGUGAAGCUGGAUUCGCUAGUAAUCGCGCAUCAGCCACGGCGCGGUGAAUACGUUCCCGGGCCUUGUACACACCGCCCGUCAAGCCAUGGGAGCCGGGGGUACCUGAAGUACGUAACCGCAAGGAUCGUCCUAGGGUAAAACUGGUGACUGGGGC